ACUAUCUACAACACAUGGUAGAAACCUUAAAUUAAGACCAAGAACACUAGAGUUCGCCUAUAAGAUUGCUGAACAAGGGGAGGGUGCAUUCGGCCUCCUCGGCUGUAAUUGGUCCAGCCCAGAGUCGAUCAUGACCAAUUGGCCAAUCCAACACCUUUCAUUAUAUAUACCCUUCCUAAAAAAA